rnacentral:rRNA from 1 species
GUCUAUGGCCAUACCACCCUGAAUGCGCCUGAUCUCGUCUGAUCUCGGAAGCUCAGCAGGGUCGGUCAGGCCUGGUUAGUACUUGGAUGGGAGAAAGUGAAGUUUGCUACGUUGAUC